rnacentral:rRNA from 1 species
CUCAAAGGAAGUUGACGGGGGCCGCACAAGCGGUGGAGCAUGUGGUUUAAUUCGAAGCAACGCGAAGAACCUUACCAGGUCUUGACAUCCCCUGACAACCCGAGAGAUCGGGCGUCCCCUUCGGGGGACAGGGUGACAGGUGGUGCAUGGUUGUCGUCAGCUCGUGUCGUGAGAUGUUGGGUUAAGUCCCGCAACGAGCGCAACCCUCGACCUUAGUUGCCAGCAUUCAGUUGGGCACUCUAAGGUGACUGCCGGCUAAAAGUCGGAGGAAGGUGGGGAUGACGUCAAAUCAUCAUGCCCCUUAUGACCUGGGCUACACACGUGCUACAAUGGGCGGUACAAAGGGAAGCGAAGGAGCAAUCCGGAGCAAAUCCCUUAAAGGCGGUCCCAGUUCAGAUUGUGGGCUGAAACUCGCCCACAUGAAGGCGGAAUUGCUAGUAAUUGCAGAUCAGCAUGCUGCAGUGAAUACGUUCCCGGGCCUU